rnacentral:rRNA from 1 species
AUGGCACUCGCACCACGACCACUGGCCACCACAGUUUUCGGCUGCCGGAUGAUGGCGGUCGUUCUGCAGGCCGCAGCCUUGACUUGCGUUGUGCUCGCAGGCAACCUCUGGUUCUCGACAUUCAUAUUCCUCAAGGCUAUCCUGGCGGCGGAGCUGGCCUUGAAUGCGGCGCGACUGAUCUACGACGCGGCGCAGGUCUUCUUCCAGAAACCGCUGCCGGCCUUCCGCUGUGAGAUGAUGGGGCUUGUCGCCGCUGACUGGGUGAUUAUGCUCCUCCUUUUCGCUGCUGGGUCGAGCUCCCUCGCUGUGGAGGACUUCGUCGAGAACAACAUGAGGCGUUGCGCGUUGCUGCAGCCCGGGACGUGCGAGCGGUACAAGGCCGCCGGCGUACUUACCCUGCUGGCGUGGGCUUUCACUGUCCCGGUGGCCUGCGUUAUGCUCCGUCUGCAAAGGAUCUGGGAUGAAGACGCCGCCGCCGCUGAUGCAUGA